AACGUAGGGGGCGAGCGUUGUCCGGAAUUACUGGGCGUAAAGGGCGCGUAGGUGGUCCAUUAAGUUAGAGGUGAAAGAUCGGGGCUCAACCCCGAGAUUGCCUCUGAUACUGGUGGACUUGAGUGCAGGAGAGGGGAGCGGAAUUCCCAGUGUAGCGGUGAAAUGCGUAGAUAUUGGGAGGAACACCAGUGGCGAAGGCGGCUCUCUGGACUGUAACUGACACUGAGGCGCGAAAGCGUGGGGAGCGAACAGGAUUAGAUACCCCCGUAGUCC
rnacentral:rRNA from 1 species